GGAUUGUGGCUUAGUGGUAGAGCGCUUGCCUGGCACGUGCAGGGCCCUGGGUUCGAUCCUCAGCACCA
rnacentral:tRNA from 1 species